AUAGCUUUCUGAUCCAUAUAUUUCUUCAAUUUGGAAGCCAACUUUGAAUUGAUUUUGCUGUGCAUUACCAGAUGGCAGAAGAGUCUAAUUCUUUGGAGUAUACACCAACAUGGGUAGUUGCUGUUGUCUGUUUCGUCAUCGUUCUAAUCUCUUUUUUUGCAGAACGUGGUCUUCAUAAUCUUGGGAAGUGGUUGAAGAAAAAGAAACAAGACGCAUUAUUUGAAGCCCUACAAAAAUUAGAAGAAGAAUUGAUGCUUUUAGGGUUCAUUUCCCUUCUGCUAACUGUCACUCAAGGUGCAAUAAGCCGCUUUUGCAUUCCACCUCAUCUUGCAGCUAUCAUGCUCCCAUGUAAGAGAAAAACUGAGAGCAGCAGUCAUGAAAAAUAUUUUCAUGUCAUAAACAAUCGACGACGGUUGUUGUCUGCAAGUAGUAAUGCAGCUCACUGUGUUCAUAAGGGGAAGGUUCAACUGUUUUCAUUGGAAGCAUUGCACCAGCUUCAUAUUUUCAUCUUUGUUUUGGCAGUUGUGCAAGUGAUAUUCUGUGCCUCUACAAUGGUUCUGGGUGGAGCAAGGAUAAGGCAAUGGAAGGCUUGGGAAGAUUCAAUAAAGCCUAAACCAGAACCAGAAGGUCAAACUAAGAUUGCAGAAGAACACCACCAUCACUUGACCAAGUUCCUUCAUAAACACACAAAAGGAUUUUGGAGAAAGGCAGCAGUUAUAAGCUGGUUGAUAUCAUUCUUCAAACAUUUUACUGGCUCUAUUACCAAGUCAGAUUACAUUGCCCUUCGACAAGGAUUUAUCAAGGCACAUUUUCCUCAUAUGUCUCAGUUUAAUUUUCAUGAAUACAUUUUGCGGAAUCUUCAAAUGGAUUUCAAGCAAAUUGUUGGCAUAAGCUGGUACCUGUGGCUCUUUGUGGUGAUCUUUCUGCUGCUAAAUGUAGAAGGGUGGCACACAUACUUUUGGUUAGCUUUUUUGCCUUUAAUUCUUCUGCUGCUAGUAGGUGCUAAGCUAGAACACAUAAUCGCCCGUAUGGCUCAUGAGGCCAAUGAGCAGACAGACAACAAGGAAGUGAAGCCUUCUGAUGAUCACUUUUGGUUUGGGAAGCCUGUCAUUAUUCUUCACUUGAUUCACUUCAUCCUGUUUCAAAAUUCAUUUGAGAUUGCUUUCUUCUUCUGGAUAUGGUGCACUUAUGGAUUUGAAUCAUGCAUCAUGGAAAAACUGGGCUACAUCGUGCCGAGACUUAUUAUGGGGUAAUCAAUAAUCCAUAUACGUAAAUAUGAUCUUGCUUGCAAUUGCAUACAUAAUAACAUAAUUACUUUGGCUUGUGGGUGAGUCCAGUUUGAUUGUCCAAGUGCUCUGCAGUUACAGCACCUUGCCUUUGUAUGCUCUAGUCUCCCAGGUGGGUAAAAAACCACUACCUAUACACCAAGUUUUCUUUUAUUCUGCUUGCAUUACAUACAGAAAAAUCAUGAGUUUCAUUGUGCUGACUUUAGUUUUUCUUUGGUGAGUGAAGAUGGGUAGCAAGUACACAGUAAGAGUUUUUCGUGGUCCUACACAAUCAUUGAUAACUCGCUGGGCAAAUAUGCCUUCUGGAAUACAUGAGACUCCGGCUCAUACCAAUCAGUUGAUAGCAGAAACAUCUGAGAGUGCUGCACAAGAAAUGAUUGUUAUAGAAGCAACUUCAGCAUCAGUAACUGAGCAUUCAAGAAAUGAUGCCAACCUUUUUUAAUAUAUACCCUCUUCUGUUGUUGAAUCAUUCUUCUCCCAAGUGAUAUUGUUGUUAAUGAUGGAAAUUCCUCACUCAAAUUCCUUCAAUUUGCCUGUGUAUUAAAUGCUAAUAGUUUAUAUUAGAUUUUACUUGAGGUAAUUAAGUUUUGUCAACUUUGUUUAUGUUAAAUUUGUAGUUUUGGUUCUCAAAAUCUUAAUAUAUAUGAGUAAACUUUCUAAGUGAGGAUGAUAAUUCAACUAAUAA
rnacentral:misc_RNA from 1 species